AACAGUUUGAAGUGCAGACAGGAGGCCGAUCACAUCCGAGCUGCAUGAAGGAGGCGCAGCACCAUCAUCGGAUGAUGCUGGCAGCUGGCAUCCUCUUGAAAGCACUGGCAAUUUUCCAACUGCUCCAACUCGUGUAAACGAGACCUUGCAUCCAAAUAAUUCUACUCAUGCUGGAAAUGCCACAGAGGUUGUUCAUCACAACAAUACAGCUGCAGCAACAGUGAAAGAAGACGUGUGAUGCUAAAAAUGUGGAAACAAGAAUCUUACUGUCUUCUCUGAAUAAAUACUAAAAUUAUGGUGUGAGAAAAAGAUUUUCUUAUUGUAUAGGAUUUAAAGUGUGUUUUUAAACACAUUUAAGAUCUUGAAAGGUCGGGUCCAAACACACAUAAAACACCAAAUCCACAAAAAAAAAGUUUGAAGGAAGCACCAGCAACAAAUAAGUUAAUUUAAAAAAAAAGAAAAAAGAGCGAGGGCAAAAAAGUGUGUAUGAUAACUUUUGAGACAAGUGCCGUUAUUCACCACUAAAAUAAAACAGUUAAGGUUGUGUACCUCAACUUGGGGGUGAAAAUCAAACAAUUAUAAAAUCUAAAAUAAUCGAAACAAAACUAAAUACAAUAACGUUUUUGACUAUCUUGUUUCACGCUCAGUCAUCCAGGUAAGUAAAGGUUGAUUCUGUAGUUUUCAGUGGGAGAAACGUUUCGUCACUCAUCCAAGUGACUUCUUCAGUCUCAGCUGACGGCAGGUUUCCUCAACCUUAUAAACAGUAGAUUUGCAUAAUGACUGAAACUAGCACCACUGAUGAACAGGCUGUGAGGUCAGUUCCUUGAUCAGAGUCUUGGGUCGAUUUGUGGCUAUUUUCAAAUUUCGAUUACAUGCCAUUUGCACAGUGUUGAAUGGAAUAUAGCGAAAGUCGGCAAAAAAAAGUUCGGUCACAUUUACUGUUAAAAUUUCAGUAUGACUUCCGGAAAUUAGCUUCAGUGGCUAAGCUAGCGAUAAACUUACACUAUCGGUCCUAGUGGUCGAUUUGUGCCCCAUUGAAACCCAUUAUAAACGCUAUUUUUCACGGCAAAAAAAUUACGGUCAAAUCGAUCGUGAUCGGUUAUGUUUCCGCUUCCGCUUGCAGUACUGGCCUUAGAGUUGUAAUUUUUUUAUUUGUCCACCGGGUGGCGCCCUUGCUCCACAUGUGACGCCUGCUGGAACAUACACAUGUUCUCCAGCGGCCUGCUGGAGACAGAUACCCGGAAAAGGCAGACUAAUUUCCCGCGUACAGCAGCAGCUUGGCCCGCUGCUCGUUCCGGACCAUUUUCUGACCUUAGGAUCGUUUGAGGGUGCAUUAAUUUUUUUUAAUCAACAGGAAAUGACGUAUUUGUUUUCACGUGGUAGCGGAAGUGUGUGCUGCAGACACGGGAACCGAACCAUAUGCUCCGGCGCUGCGCGAAACACACCCGCGGCAGAGGCACUCCUCCCCGGGGGAGCAGGAGCAGCAGCGCCGCCUGGGGACAUUUUUGGCUUCUGAAAAAAAAAUUAAAACCGGAUCGAAAUUAAUGUUGGUGCCAAUCUUUUGUCCAUCUAAAGGCCUAAUUAUAAUAACAAUAAAAUAUUACUUCAAAUGUUUUUUUUGGAAAAUAUUUUAUGUUUUAUGUUUUAUGUUUUUGGGGCAAAAAAAGCAGUGCGCUCAUGUGAGGAAACCGGGAUAUAAAGGGUUAAAAUCCGCAAAAUGUAAUUAAAACUUGACAUGAAUAUUUCAAGGAGAAGUAGGUCUAAAAGAUUGGCUAAUUUAAAGUGGAAUAAAAUAUUAAUAUAUAAAUUUUUUAUAGCACUUUUUGGGCGUGGUCGAUUUGUGGCUCUAAGACCGAUAGUGUAUGCAUUUUUCUAAGACCCUCCAGGGGAAUAUGCAAAUUGUCAUGACCAUUGAUCAAAGACCACUGAUCAAUGGCCAUGAGUACCAUUCCCAGAGAGUUGGGGAAUGGCUGCAAUCACAGCAUUGUAAGAUGGUGACAGAUGUACCCUUAGGCCCCCUCCUCGAUUCAGAGAUACUCCUGACACAUAAGAGAUCACUAAGGGUUUUCGCUUAGGCGGCAGUUGUCCUCUCCUGGAUCGCCUGGAGCUUUCUUUGGGUGCCUUCCCGUCUGGGAUAACCACAUUAACUCAGGGCCUUCUUGAUGUGAUGUUCUGGCCGCUGUGUCAGUGGGGAUGGUGUUCGCUCUGUGCUGUAACGUCCUGGCAUCACCCAGUUUGUGCUCCAGUGGAUGAUGAGACUCAAACCUUAAAUACUGAUCUGUAUUUGUUGAUUUAUGGUACACAUCAACUUUUAAAUGUCCCCCAUUACUGAUGGAUGUUUUUGACUUUUGCAUAUGUAACUGUAAAUUUACCAAUUCUUGAAACUUUUUUGAUCUUUAACAUCCAUCGCAGGUUUGCAGUGUAUGCUUCUGUCCAUGUUAAAAUAAUUUCAAGUAAUUUCAAUUUGACAGGGAUGAUGCAGUUUUACGUAUGUCAAAUACAAACCUGUUGUUAAUAUUAAAUAUUUGUCCCCUUUUUGAUCUUCAUAAUUCACUUAUUUGGUUUCAGUUUUUA
ensembl:lncRNA